UGCCUGGCGGCUGUAGCGCGGUGGUCCCACCUGACCCCAUGCCGAACUCAGAAGUGAAACGCCGUAGCGCCGAUGGUAGUGUGGGGUCUCCCCAUGCGAGAGUAGGGAACUGCCAGGCAC
rnacentral:rRNA from 1 species